rnacentral:rRNA from 1 species
CACCGCGGUUAAACGAGAGGCCCAAGUUGACAGACACCGGCGUAAAGAGUGGUUAAAAGACAAAAAUACUAAGACCGAAUACUUUUAGUGCUGUUAUACGUAUUCAAAAGUUAGAAGCUCAACUACGAAAGUGGUCUUAAUUAAAUUCUGAACCCACGAAAGCUAUGACA